UACGGAGGGUGCAAGCGUUAUCCGGAUUCACUGGGUUUAAAGGGUGCGUAGGUGGGCAGGUAAGUCAGUGGUGAAAUCUCUAAGCUUAACUUAGAAACUGCCGUUGAUACUAUCUGUCUUGAAUAUAGUGGAGGUGAGCGGAAUAUGUCAUGUAGCGGUGAAAUGCUUAGAUAUGACAUAGAACACCGAUUGCGAAGGCAGCUUGCUACACUAUUAUUGACACUGAGGCACGAAAGCGUGGGGAUCAAACAGG
rnacentral:rRNA from 1 species